GAUUCCUUAACUUCAUUUGUUGCUCCUUUGUCAAUGUCCUUAUACCAUGGAAGUCCUGGUGAAUUAUCACAUACUCCUAAUGUGCUGAGAAAUACCACUUUCAGGACACUGAGAUAUAAAACCACUUAAAAGCCACUCUCUCAACACCUUCUCUGUUGUCUCUGAAGAAUGGACCUUCUACUCUUGGUGCUGUGUCCCAGGGAAGCAAUGGACAUGAAAUCCUCCUAUGUAGGCUGAGAACUUAUCCCCUAGAAAUUAUUUCCCCAGAAAAGCAAAUAUACUUUUGACGGAGCUCUUUAACACUACUAUCAUUCAGUAACAUUUUCAAUGAAACCAUCUUUUGUUAACUCUCUGGGGUACUGACACCAUUUAAUUCACUGAGAACAGAUAAUAAACAGAACAUUUAAUUCACUGGGAGAAAAUAAACAGAAAGCCUAAUUCCACUUGGCUGAAUCUGCCUAAGUCCAACUUUUG
rnacentral:lncRNA from 1 species